GCGGGUGUGGUGUAUGGUACAGGGCUGCCCUUCCUGGUCGGGAAAGAUUAAAAGUUGUAGCAGCAGAACCGGGUUCGAUUCCCGGCAUCCGCA